UCGAACGAGAAAGCAGGAGCAAUCUUGUGAGUAAAGUGGCGUACGGGUGAGUAACACGUGGAUUAUCUACCCUCUUGUGGGGGAUAACCCUGGGAAACCGGGGCUAAUACCGCAUAAGCUCGAGAGAGGAAAGCAGCAAUGCGCUGGAGGAGGAGUCCGCGGCCGAUUAUUGCUAGUUGGUAGGGUAAAAGCCUACCAAGGCUACGAUCGGUAGCCGGCCUGAGAGGGCACACGGCCACACUGGCACUGAAACACGGGCCAGACUCCUACGGGAGGCAGCAGUGGGGAAUCUUGCACAAUGGGGGCAACCCUGAUGCAGCGACGCCGCGUGAGCGAUGAAGCCCUUCGGGGUGUAAAGCUCUUUCGGCAGGGAAGAUUAUGACGGUACCUGCAGAAGCAGCUGCGGCUAACUACGUGCCAGCAGCCGCGGUAAUACGUAGGCAGCAAGCGUUGUUCGGAGUUACUGGGCGUAAAGGGUGUGUAGGCGGUUCUCUAAGUCUGGUGUGAAAUCUCCCGGCUCAACUGGGAGGGUGCGCCGAAAACUGGAGGACUAGAGUGCGGGAUGGGAGAGUGGAAUUCCUGGUGUAGCGGUGAAAUGCGUAGAUAUCAGGAGGAACACCUGUGGUGUAGACGGCUCUCUGGACCGCAACUGACGCUGAGACACGAAAGCGUGGGUAGCAAACAGGAUUAGAUACCCUGGU
rnacentral:rRNA from 1 species